GGGGAUGUAGCUCAGUGGCGCAGCACCUGCCUGGCAAGCACGAGGCCCUGAGUUUGAUUCUCAGUACCUCUC
rnacentral:tRNA from 1 species